UACGGAGGGUGCGAGCGUUGUCCGGAAUUAUUGGGCGUAAAGAGCUCGUAGGCGGUCUGCCGCGUCUGCUGUGAAAACUCGGGGCUUAACCCCGGGCCUGCAGUGGGUACGGGCAGGCUAGAGUGUGGUAGGGGAGACUGGAAUUCCUGGUGUAGCGGUGAAAUGCGCAGAUAUCCGGAGGAACACCGAUGGCGAAGGCAGGUCUCUGGGCCACUACUGACGCUGAGAAGCGAAAGCAUGGGGAGCGAACAGG
rnacentral:rRNA from 1 species